rnacentral:rRNA from 1 species
CCUACGGGAGGCAGCCGUGAGGAAUAUUGGUCAAUGGGCGCGAGCCUGAACCAGCCAAGUAGCGUGAAGGAUGACUGCCCUACGGGUUGUAAACUUCUUUUAUAAAGGAAUAAAGUGAGGCACGUGUGCCGUUUUGUAUGUAAUUUAUCAAUAAGGAUCGGGAAACUCCGGGCCAGCCGCCGCGGUAAUACGGAGGAUCCGAGCGUUAUCCGGAUUUAUUGGGUUUAAAGGGAGCGUAGAUGGGUUGUAAAGUCAGUUGUGAAAGUUUGCGGCUCAACCGUAAAAUUGCAAUUGAUACUGGCAGUCGUGAGUACAGUUGAGGUAGGCGGAAUUCGUGGUGUAGCGGUGAAAUGCUUAGAUAUCACGAAGAACUCCGAUUGCGAAGGCAGCUUACUAAACUGCCACUGACAUUGAUGCUCGAAAGUGUGGGUAUCAAACAGGAUUAGAUACCCCAGUAGUC